rnacentral:rRNA from 1 species
GAUGAACGCUGGCGGCGUGCCUAAUACAUGCAAGUCGAGCGAACAGAUGAGGAGCUUGCUCCUCUGACGUUAGCGGCGGACGGGUGAGUAACACGUGGAUAACCUACCUAUAAGACUGGGAUAACUUCGGGAAACCGGAUCUAAUACCGGAUAAUAUAUUGAACCGCAUGGUUCAAUAGUGAAAGACGGUUUUGCUGUCACUUAUAGAUGUAGCCGGGCCGCAUUAGCUAGUUGGUAAGGUAAAGGCAUACCAAGGCGACGAUGCGUAGCCGACCGGAGAGGGUGGUCGGCCACACUGGAACGGAGACACGGUCCAGACUCCUACGGGAGGCAGCAGUAGGGAAUCUUGAGCAAGGGGCGAAAGACUGACGGAGCAACGCCGCGUGAGUGAUGAAGGUCUUCGGAUCGGAAAACUAUGUUAUUAGGAAAGAACAAAUGUGUAAGUAACUAUGAACGUAUUGACGGUACCGAAAGAAAAAGCCACGGCUAACUACGUG